CCCAAAAAAUUAGCACAAAAUUCUGUACACUCACUAGUCACAACUAGUAGGAAGCUGUGGCUGCAGCCCUGCCUCCCUGCUCUCCAAAUUUCAAACAUGGCCAUCUCUUCUCUGCGACUCCCGUUCUCGCUGUGGCUUCCAAGACUCCCAAUUCAGAGCUUCCGUUUCUCAAAACCAAUUUUACCCCUAAGAUUGAACCUUAUUUACUGCUCCUCCUCUAUCUCCUCUACUGCUCAACAAACCUCAACCGACCUUGACAAAUGGCAAUCCGUUCGAAAGAAGAAAGUGGUUCUCCGGGUCGGGUACGUCGGCUCCGAUUACCGAGGCUUGCAAAUGCAACGAGACGAACAUUCAUUAUCUACUAUUGAAAAAGAACUGGAAACGGCCAUAUUCAAUGCCGGUGGUAUCCGCGAUAGUAAUCUCGGGAACCUUAACAAGAUUGCGUGGGCCAGAAGUAGCCGAACAGAUAAAGGAGUUCACUCAUUAGCGACAAUGAUAUCAUUUAAAAUGGAAAUCCCGGAGAAAGCAUGGGACGGAGACCCUUAUGGCAUUGCCCUUGCGAAUCACAUUAACUAUUAUCUUCCUCAUAAUAUCAAAGUUUUUAGCAUUUUGCCUGCGCAGAGGAGCUUUGAUCCUAGAAAGGAGUGUAAUCUCCGCAUGUAUUCAUACCUCCUUCCUGCUGAUGUUAUUGGAAUCAAAAGCCACUUCAGCGCAGCAGAAAUUGAUUAUCACAUCUCAGACUUCAAUAGUAUACUAAAUUGUUUCGAGGGAGAACAUCCUUUUCAUAAUUAUACCAUACGAUCUAAAUACAGGAGGAAGCUUCCUGUAAAAAAAUCACGUAGACAUGGAAGUGUGUCAAUAACAGGGAGAUCAACUGGAGAGGCAUCAGCCUCUGAGUCUGAGGAAAGUGAUAGGGAUGAAAAUUUUGAUGGAACAAAUGCACCAGAAACAGAUGCCGAGGUACUGAACCAAAAUUCUUCACCGUCUAGCAAUAGUGAGGGCAACUUACGCAAUGCUUGCGAGAAGCAGGGAGAUGGUGGUGGCAACGAUCAAAGUGCUGGUUCGGUCAUCCGUGCAAGAUGGUUAUAUGAACCUGAUGAAAGAGAUAGAAUAAGUGCUUCUCAUUUCAGAAAGAUUUUUCGCUGUUCUUGUGGGAAGCUAGAGAAAUCGCUUGGACAUGAUUAUGUUGAGCUUUCCAUUUCGGGAGAGUCUUUCAUGUUACAUCAAAUUCGCAAAAUGGUUGGAACUGCUGUGGCCAUAAAGCGCAAGUUACUCCCAAGAGAUAUUUUGACAUUAUCACUGGCCAUGUUCUCACGGAUAAUCCUACCACUUGCCCCAUCUGAAGUUCUGUUUUUAAGAGGAAACAGAUUUUCAAUCAGAGAACGACCUGGAAAUGUAACAAGGCCUGAAAUGAUGGCAAUGGUUGAAUCAGAAGAAAUUAUUAAGGCAGUUGACGAGUUCUACACAUCUGUUAUGUUGCCUGAAGUUUCAAAGUUCUUAGAACCUUCAGGAUAUCCUUGGAAAGAAUGGGUUGAAAACUUAGAUAGAAACACAGGCAUUCCUGAUGCAGAAUUGGAUGAAGUCAGGAAUGCUUGGAAAGUGUGGAAGGAAAAGUUUGACAGUGUUGCACCAGUCCUAAACCAAUGAGACAAGGUAGAUGCUGAUGAUUGCCAACUUAUUUGUCCGUUGAAAAUACUCCGAGGCCAUACAAGCUCAAAUGGGAGAGGAAUAAAGGACUGUAAAUUCCAUCCAAGGAAGCUCCGGUUAUUCACUGCUGGUGCUGACUUCUUAGGUGGAUCUUCAGGUGUUGAUCAGACUUUAUUUCCAUGGGGAGAGAAGAAAGGAAACCAAACUGCCUUUAGUGGGUCAUACUGCACAUUUAUGGAUCUCAUUAGUUGGAUCUGGAUUUCCUGUGCUUUAAAAUAUGUUUUUGAGUUGUUGAAUUUUUGUACGUCUCAUCUGCUCACAGCUGUUUCUUUCAUAAUUUUGACAUUAUACAACUAAUCUGUUUUUUCUUUCUUUUUUGGGCCAAAA